CACCGUUCCCAGUGCCGUCAGUGCUCUCCUAAGAGGCACCCGUGCGUUUUCGCUUUGCUUGACCGGGUUCCGGAGCCGGCAGGAGGUCGCGGGCUCGAAAAUUAAUUAACUAUAGUAACGGUGAAACCUGCUGCCCGCGAGAUCUGGAGCCGCGUGAAGGAACGCGGUACAUCGGUGGAAAGAAUCCAACAUCUCAGAGUGUACGUGACAAGGAGUCGUUUCUGAUCGAACCGCGGUAUAGCCGCCGCAACAAGGAGUGUGUCGAGGACGUACGGUAGUACUUUACGUUGAGAAAGCAACCGCGAAUAACGGAUAAGAUUCAUACCGAAGAAAGGAAAGAACAAAAGCGAACUGUACAUCUUCUGUAAAACAAUCGGACGAGAGAAAAAUAUAAAAAAAGCCGAAAGCGAAACGCUCGUAUUCCAAAAAUAAAGCAACGACUCACGGACAAUCUUCUGAAGUGUAUUCGAAACACCGUUUCGCGGCGAUAAACUUGGCGUUAUUAAAUUUCAAAGUCGAUGAAAUAAAAUUAGAGAAAAAAGAGGAAAGAGAGAGGGAGAGAGAGAGAGAGAGAGAGUGUGUGCGCGUGUGAAGCG
rnacentral:misc_RNA from 1 species